rnacentral:rRNA from 1 species
GAUGAACGCUGUCUACAGGCUUAACACAUGCAAGUCGAGGGGAAACGACGGGGAAGCUUGCUUCCCCGGGCGUCGACCGGCGCACGGGUGAGUAACGCGUAUCCAACCUGCCUCUGACUGAGGGAUAACCCGUCGAAAGUCGGCCUAAUACCUCAUGGCAUCGUCUGCGGGCAUCCAACGACGAUUAAAGAUUUCAUCGGUCAGGGAUGGGGAUGCGUCUGAUUAGCUUGUUGGCGGGGUAACGGCCCACCAAGGCUACGAUCAGUAGGGGUUCUGAGAGGAAGGUCCCCCACAUUGGAACUGAGACACGGUCCAAACUCCUACGGGAGGCAGCAGUGAGGAAUAGUGGUCAAUGGGCGGGAGCCUGAACCAGCCAAGUAGCGUGCAGGAUGACGGCCCUAUGGGUGGUAAACUGCUUUUAGGCGGGGAUAAAGUGAGGGACGUGUCCUUCAUUGCAGGUACCGCAUGAAUAAGGACCGGCUAAUUCCGUG